GACGAACCGUGCGAACGUUGUUCGGAAUCACUGGGCUUAAAGGGCGCGUAGGCGGGCGGACCAGUCGGGGGUGAAAUCUCACGGCCCAACCGUGAAACGGCCCCCGAUACUAGCCGCCUCGAGGAAGGUAGGGGCGUGCGGAACUUCCGGUGGAGCGGUGAAAUGCGUAGAUAUCGGAAGGAACGCCGGUGGCGAAAGCGGCACGCUGGGCCUUCCCUGACGCUGAGGCGCGAAAGCCAGGGGAGCGAACGGG
rnacentral:rRNA from 1 species